AGUGAACGCUGGCGGUAGGCCUAACACAUGCAAGUCGAGCGGCAGCACAGUAAGAGCUUGCUCUUACGGGUGGCGAGUGGCGGACGGGUGAGGAAUACAUCGGAAUCUACUUUUUCGUGGGGGAUAACGUAGGGAAACUUACGCUAAUACCGCAUACGACCUACGGGUGAAAGCAGGGGAUCUUCGGACCUUGCGCGAUUGAAUGAGCCGAUGUCGGAUUAGCUAGUUGGCGGGGUAAAGGCCCACCAAGGCGACGAUCCGUAGCUGGUCUGAGAGGAUGAUCAGCCACACUGGAACUGAGACACGGUCCAGACUCCUACGGGAGGCAGCAGUGGGGAAUAUUGGACAAUGGGCGCAAGCCUGAUCCAGCCAUACCGCGUGGGUGAAGAAGGCCUUCGGGUUGUAAAGCCCUUUUGUUGGGAAAGAAAAGCAGCAGGUUAAUACCCCGCUGUUCUGACGGUACCCAAAGAAUAAGCACCGGCUAACCUCGUG
rnacentral:rRNA from 1 species